AGGUGGGUUGUGUUUACCGAAGCGACUAGGUUGCCUGUAUGUCUAAGAUAAAUGUUCAUCAUUGAUGCAUGUAGUGGUAGCUAUUGAUACAGCAUAAGUAUGCAUGAGAUGAAGGCUAAAUGAGCUACCAAACAAUGCAUGAUGACUUAGUGUAAAUAGUGCUAGAUGAAUGCAUUGAUUAAUGCUAAAGUAUACAUGAUAAGCAUGCAUGUGGAUAAUGCUAAGUAAUGGUAUGAUAAGCAUGAUAUAGAAAUAAUAAAUGCAAGCAUGUGGUUAAUGCUAAGAAUAUAGAUGAUGACAUGAUAGAAAUGCUAAGUCCAUGUAUGAUAAGCAUGUUUUAGGGAUGCUAAAAUAAGAAUGCUA
rnacentral:lncRNA from 1 species